GAUUCGAACCUGCGGCAGGUUCGGGUCUCACGUAGUGAGACAACGGAGCCGCUUGCGGCGACGGCCCGAAGGGCGAGGCGAAGCCGAGUCAUCCUGCACGACCCACCA
rnacentral:sRNA from 1 species